ensembl:snoRNA
AUCCUAUGAUGAUUACUUUUAUGUGUCAGUUUGACUGGGCCACAGAGUUCCCAGAUAAUUGAUUAAACAUUAUUUCUGGGU